AUAUUGUUUUUAAGGCAGGAGGUUUAAAAAACACAUCUUUUUUAUGUAGAUUGUGAAGUUAAGCGUGCAUUUCAGACUUUUUCAAUGCGUUUCUCGUAAUUUUUGAGCCCUAUUUGCAUCGGCGGAUCCAGCAAAUUGGCAACAUUGUCUAUUAUCCAUUUAAACCUAUGGAAAUGUAUCGAUUCUUGGGGGGGCCAGGUGCCCCCCCAAGAAUUGAUUAUUUAACAUAGGUUUAAAUGGAGGGAAUCCGUUGUUGCCAAAUUGCUGGUUCCGCCCCUGCCUAUUUGUACGAGAAAUAAACAUUUUUUUUUUGCUCUAGCUGAAGUUUGCAACAGGUCCAUUGCAUCAUUGAGGCCUACUAUAUCUGAGGCAUCUAUUUUCAAAUUUUCAGACUAGGAACAUGACUCUAGAGAAGUGCGGGGGCUCACUGUAUACCCGCCCCCUCCAGACUCUCCGUUCCUGACCGUGUUCUGGUCGGACUGGGAGCAACUCUUCAACGCAGACGCAGAGCAUGUUCCAGAGCUGAUGGCGAGAAUCGGCAAGGGACUCGCUUUGCACGGCUACAAUCACAUGAGCUCAGAUACACCCGCUAGUCAAAACUCGCCCUACAGCAUUUUUGCCUCCAAAUACUGCCCAGACUUUUAUUCAACCGUCCAAGUUUUAGGAUUGAUUGAAGUUCGGGACUCAGAUACGUCAGUGAGAUUAGCGAACCGUCCGUCAGAGGCAUAAUUAUAUCGUCCACAUCUUUCUUUGUCUCUGUUGGGUAUCUCAUCAUGAUUUUCAUCGGCAGUCUCACAGCUUGGCGCAAUGCGGCUGCCAUUAGCGCGUCUCUGCCGCUACUCUGCAUUAUUCUAUUAUCCUGGUAAUUAGAUGUGAUCAUUGGUUUUUACAUAUAUCCUUCGAAAGCUUACUUAUUUACGUACGAAGUAAGUAAGUAUACUUUUUUUACCAACAACUUGUUUUAUUACCGGGACAAAAUGAUGCACGGAAAAAAAAGUUUGACACCUACAUCCAGAAUUCUGGUUGGCCCGAACAUAAAGUCUGGUUGCAUUUCGGAACCAGACUUUCUGGUUGCGCCAACCAGCCGUUUCUGGUAUGUCCAACCAGAAGUUUCUGGUUGCCACAACCAGAAAUUCUGCUUAUCUCAACCAGAAUUCUGGUGAGGUCACCCAUAAUUCUGGUUACCUUUACCAGAAAUCUGGUUAAGUGAACCAGAAAAUCUGGAAUUCAAAAUCAGACUUUUCCCAGGAGUGGAGCCUCCCCCCCCCCCCAAAAAAAGCCGUAAUUUAAAUGAAAAAAGUAUGAAAAAAUAUAAAAUGUAGAAGGCUCCAUUUCAUUUAACUUCUAGCACAAGUUGCACCUCAAAUACA
rnacentral:lncRNA from 1 species